GGCGCCAUCGUCUAGCGGUUAGGACGGCGGGUUUUCAGCCCGUUAGCCGGAGUUCGAGUCUCCGUGGCGCUA
rnacentral:tRNA from 1 species